UACGUAGGGCGCAAGCGUUGUCCGGAAUUAUUGGGCGUAAAGAGCUCGUAGGCGGUUUGUCGCGUCGAAUGUGAAAACCCGGGGCUCAACCCCGGGCCUGCAUUCGAUACGGGCAGACUAGAGUUCGGUAGGGGAGUCUGGAAUUCCUGGUGUAGCGGUGAAAUGCGCAGAUAUCAGGAGGAACACCGGUGGCGAAGGCGGGUCUCUGGGCCGUAACUGACGCUGAGGAGCGAAAGCAUGGGGAGCGAACAGG
rnacentral:rRNA from 1 species